rnacentral:lncRNA from 1 species
UGAACGUAUAUUCCCAAUUGUGAUUACAAAAAGAAUUUCUGUGUCAUGACAACAAAUCUAGCAAUAUAAAAUUUGUAAUUACUUUUUAUAAAAUGAUCAAUUGUACAAGCGUAUAAUACAUAUAAUAAACUUCAAUUACAAAAAAAUAAAAUAUUUUCAAACUUAAAUUAAAAUUAAAAAAAAACUCGCAACAUGCAAUUUAUGCAGUUUCGGCAGGGCACAACUAGUUUUGUCACGAAACAAAAUUUGGUUUUGGUUUCACAACUACAGACGAACACACACACACACACACAACAAAAACAUUAUUUGAUUACAUCUACACAAACCACAUUGACAUGGAAUGACAGAAUUUCAAUAAAAUCCACAUUCGUUAAAAAUAUUACAGACAUAGAGUAAUUAUGAAACUAUUCAAAAUUUUGUCUCUGCUUACAACAAGAUAUUGCAACCGAACUAACAUGAAAAUCUAAACCAAAAACAUGAAUCUCUACAAAGAGAUAAUAUGAAAUUAGCAAUAUUAAUCAAUUCUACGACCAUCUUCAAACUCACAUCCCUGUCCAUGCAGUCUUAUCCAAAUAUAUAACAAACUCACCAACACUACUUAGUAUAUGGUGUGGCAUAGCCUAAUUUUGCAUCGACCUCGUUUAUGCCAUGUAAAUAGGAGGCUCUUCAAUCUCUAUCCUAAAUCAAUACAGAAACUUACUAACACUACUUAUGCUUAGACAUAUGUCUAAGACCAAAGCUAGUGAUAAGAUCAAUGCAUCAGGAAGAAGAUAACUGGGAUGAAAUGCAUUUCACAAUCCCUCUCUACCAAAGAUUUGCAGUGCUACUACCAAUUCAGCAUGACACUCCAAAUUUGACGAAUACAAGUAAUUCUAUGUAAACUACAAACACUACGAGUCCCACACCCACAGAACGCUUGUGCAAGAUCUCAUAACUGACCUCACAUAAAGGGGAUAAUGCAUUCUAAUUUUAAGAUAUAUACAUGUCACCAGAGUACAGCACAUAACACACACACACACACAUGAUUAAUGCAAGAAACUAAACUAGGGCUGGGCAACAUAACUUCUUAAAUUGCUAGCAUAGAUAGAAUCAAAUUAUAGUACAAACCAAACAAAAGUUCUACGUUUGGUUGCAUAUAUGAUAUAUCAGCUAUUGGCUGUUCAUUAAUAAUGCCAAAACAAGCUUAAAACAAUGUCAACUCAAAACACAGAGAGAUCAUUGACCAUUCCUGAGAAGCAAGAAUUGGAAAGCCCCCAAAACAGGAUUUCACUGGACAAGCAUUCCAAGCAGUAAAUAACAAUAAUAUCUCUCGAUACACAUGUAACCAACUGCACUUCAAUCUACUCACUCGAUCCUCAUGAACAUUAGCAAAUCGCAAACAAAAAGCCAGAGAGGGUGGCUUUAUCAACAGCUAACAUUUGAUUGGCAAUAAACGAGCAAGGCUUAUGUGGUUGUUUCAUGAAAGAUUGGUUACAGACAUACUACUCCCUCCGUCCCACUAUAAGUGGCUCAAAACUUUUCGGCACGGGAAUUAUGGAGGUGUAAAUUGGUUAAAAGUGGUGGGGCCUACAUUUUUUAAGGGUUAAAAUUUUCCAUUUAUGAAAAUAGGCCACUUAUAGUGGAACGGCCCAAAAUAGAAUACAGACCACUUUUAGUGGGACGGGGUGAAAACAAAAAUAACUAUAUUCAAUUGCCUUAAGAAAGCCUAGCAGUUCAAGUUUAUCGUCUUAGUUCAAAUUUGCUCACUCUUACAGUCAUACUGAAGACAAUUUGCAACAUUAGGGUAGAUAACAAAAUGAACAGCCAUGGCUCACAUGAUGUGAGACUACAUGUCUCACAUGAUAACAAAAUGAACAGCCAAAAAGAACAUUUGAAAUAUGGUCAAAAGCCCAAAACAAGUUUAAGUGGAGAAAAUAAAUCAGCAAAAUACUGAAGAUGGACUCUUAUUUCCAAACAGCAGAUGGAAAAGGGCCUUUCCUGGGCCGAUUAACUAGUUGAAUUGCAAACAAGCCAGAACAUAAAUUUUUAGAAUUGACUGGUCCACAUAUUAUUCUGAUAGGACAUGCCACUCAAAAAUCAUAGAAAAUCAACAAUGCCAACCAUUUCAAAUAAUUGAAGCCUGAGCAUUAAAAAUAAACAAAUAUGCAAGUAAAAAUUUAGAUUUGUAGCUAAAGCAUCCAACAGAAACAUGACGUCAUCAGACAUAUAGUAAAUUAGUCUAUGUCUAUUCAAGCGAACACAAGCUUUACUAAAUAACAAAACACCACUCCUCAAAAUUACUGACGGAGCAUCCUGGACCUCAAAUCGGUAUCAUAUACUGGACACUAAUUACACAAACAUUUGUCAAAGCAUUGGAAACUUAUUACAGUCAAACAUUUGUCAAAGCAUUUAAAAGUCCAACAAUUUUCCUUUUUUGAGGGGUUUGGUGUGUGUGGGGGGGGGGGGGUCAAAGCCAAGAAGUCUAACCAGCAUCUACUACUAAAAGAAAUACAAGGUGUUAAACAACUCAUUAUAAAAACAAGCAGCAAAAAAUUCUUUCAUACAUGAGACAUCUGGAGGGGCAUGCAAGCUCCUCAUGAAAAUAUAGACUAGUCUAGUACUCGGCUUUUGAUCACCUAUAUCCACACUCUACUGAAAUUUUGCAGAAAGGAGGUCUAAACUCACUUAAAAUUAUGAGCAAUCACAGAAGAUCACAUCAUAAGUCGUAGGUGGAGUGAAGAAGAAGAAGCCAUAUAACACAGCAAAUCAAAAUCAUGAAGCCAUUGCCUGCAAAUUCACCAGAACCACUAAGGCUAGCACCAACAAGCUGGUCAUAAACCUGAAUCAAUAUUCAUUCACAACUCAAUAUGUCAUUCCACACACAACCAACAAAAAUGAUUCAGAAUAAGAGAAUAUGCAACCAAAAAUAAACAGUUAAACAAUCAUUGCUAGGUGGACAGCAGAAGAAAGGAAAAAUUGUAAGCAAACUGGCUGCUUUUUCAGAAGAAGAGCAGCGCGAGUUCCAUAAUUGAAAGGCUAAAUGUGUAAAAGAAACAUAAAAAGAAUAAAUCCAAGCACAAAAAGAUACAAUGACAUGUAAAAUUACAUGAAGCAAUGUCUCAGGCAUGGUUAAUUGCUAGAAAUCAAGCAAUACAAAUCAGUGUCAACAGUCAAAAGAUGAAGGACAUAGAAAUUUAAUACAAUGAAAGAUGUUCGUAAAUGAACUCUCAAAGAAGACAAUUACUUUAAGCAAAUUAUCUGCAUAGCAGAGACAACAAGGGUAUAUAUGCAUACACAAAACAUGUAAAUGGUUUCCAUAUACAAAACAUGCAUCACCAACUGGCAAGACUUCAUGAGGAUAACAAGGAAAAGAGUCUUCUAAACAUGCAAAACCACUCACAAUGAAGAAAUCAAGUCACAAGCAUUAGAAGGGAAACUGAGAAGCCAAUUAGUUCAUCUUUACAGCAUAAUGUCAUCAGUGAUUAACAGCAACAUAUCAAAGGACCACACAACAAAUGUGCACAGCACUGCACAUUAAUACUAGGAACUGUAAAAACACACUCAUAUAAAAAGAAGCCGUACCCAGAAACAACGAGAAAAUUAAAAAUCUACACCAACAAGCAAUCAAUUCAAUGAAAGCAUGAGUAAAUCAGUAGCUCAAAGACAAAACAAGUGCACCAGUGAAACAUUAUGCAUCAACGAUUGUUUGUCAUGGAUCAACAUGCUGCCAGAUCAGGUCAAUAAGCCAAAUGAAAGCAAGAGUCUCAAGGUAGGAAAUUCAGCAAUGCAAACAAAAAACCCAAACGUUAUUCAUACUUUUAUGCGACUAUAUCAACAUUGGUCCAUAAAUAAUGAAUUCCUAAUAUCCAAUGCCAUGAAUGCUUACCUCCUCCACUCUAGUUUUAUUGAAAUCAUCCACACUUGUGAAGGAAAAUGCUAUGAUGAAUAACAUAUGAUAAAUUAACUAAUAUAUUAUAAAUUACAAACUGAUGGAAGGACAGCAACCCACACAUAAGAACUGCCUUAUCUUUUACCCCAGUCCCUAAUUUUGAUGCAACACAUAAGAAUUUGUACACAUAGAAUCAACUAAUAAGUAAUAACUCAUAAUAGUAACUGUAAGUAAUCACGAGUGAUAGCAAACAUAUGGUGCAAAUAAAGCUCAUACCAGGAACAACAACUCAAAGGUGGAAUUCGUUUUAUGAAAAAUGGCAAGUUGGAAUUCGUUUUAUGAAAAAUGGCAAGUCAAUUGCAACUUGCAAGUGUGCCUAGUAGUUGGUCACCAGUCUCCCAAAUAAUAACAUAGAGUUAAUCUCUUUUCCACAAAUCAAGAUGUUCAGAAAGAAAUCCAUAAUAUCAAUAGCUAAAAGCAAACACAUCUUCACGAAACACAGCAUUUAGAAGAUAACAACACAAAAAGGCAACCAUAUGAUGCACACAAACUCCAGAUCUCCAUAUCACAUACAAAAGUCAUACCAACCCAAGCUAUUAAAACAAAAGGGAUGAAAAGCAAAAAAUGUCUAAACACAAAGAAUUGCAUGUAAAUGAUGACAGAGCCAAUAACCAGUCACAAAUAGCUUACUAGAUCAGACAGAUGCUCAAAGGGUAUCUCAAGGAAAACUUAACCGUGAUGCACCAAAACAGCAAGCUCACAACCAAAAAAGCACCUCAGUAGUAAGAAAACAUGUCGGAAAAAGUACCUCAG